CAAAAACAUCUAAAAUGAGCUGGUGCAUGUAGGGUUCUCGAACUACCAUAGCCCUGAACCUCAGCCCAUUUAUUAGAUGGUGGUCUGACUUAAGAUGUAAUGAGGAGGACAAGGGCACCAAUUUGUAGAGAUGUAUUGGAAAAUUGGAAUGCCUGCCUUUGACUGCCCACAACAAUGUAGAUAGAUAAAAUGUGUUUCAUCCAUACCAUGAAGUGUUAUGAACUUAAAAGAACUGAAACUUUGAAAAGAACAUAGAGGUGAUACAAUAGUAAGUAGAGGUUAUGCAACCACAGAACGCCAGUUCAGGGGAACAAGAGGUGUUGAA